rnacentral:tRNA from 1 species
GCCUUCGUCGCGUAGUAGUUAGCCCGCUUGACGCGUAACCGGGAGGUCCGUGGUUCGAUUCCCGGCGAAGGCG